GAAUUUAGCAAGAUGAAUUAUCACAAAAACCGAUUAUACCUGGCCAUCCAUGGCCUGAAGAGCAGCAGAUGCAUCCUCACUUGUUGUAAAAGUUAUGAAGCCAAAACCUCGGAACCUGCCUGUUUCACGAUCCUAAGAUUUUUAGAGAUCCUAAUGGCAUCACAUAUUGAGAUGGUGAUUAAACCAAAUGCAAUUGCAAGCUUUUCACUAUGUGUAUACAACAUUUCUUUCUUAACUUCCUCUUCAACAUCUUGCAACACAAACUCUGUAUCAGGUACAUAA